AGCUUGGAAGCUUAGGGGAGCUGCUGUGGCCCAGGGCUCAGUGGGGAGGAAGAGGAGGCCAGGAGUCUUGGACUAGCUGCAGGGUUUGAGCUAGGCUGAAGCAGCAGAACCACAGAGGUGGCUGAGCAGGGGCCUGGCCCUGGGACCCAGCCAUCCACACUCACACAUCCACUUCUCCCUCCAGAGCCCGGCCCUGAAGCAGGUCUCUGCUCCACGACUUUCCUUAGUUGGGGAAUCGAGAGUUGGGGGAUCAAAGCCCCCCACAUCUCCCUCACCCGCUGCAGCUAUGUUUAUCAAGGUGAUGUUUGGGGCCGGCUGCUCGGUGCUGGUGAACACCUCUUGCAGGCUGGUGAACCUCACCGCCCACCUGAGGCAGAAAGCAGGGUUGCCCCCAGAUGGUGAGGAGACAGGGAGGAGGAGGGGCUGAGGGGUCCCAGGCAGGGGUGCCAGCCCUGCCCAGUCUCUCUCCAUGUCCUCCCAGCGACCAUUGCUCUCCUGGCUGAGGACGGCAACCUAGUGAGCCUGGAGGAGGACCUGAAGGAAGGGGCUUCCCGGGCCCAGACCAUGGGCAACUCCCUACUGAAG
rnacentral:sRNA from 1 species